rnacentral:rRNA from 1 species
GAUGAACGCUAGCUACAGGCUUAACACAUGCAAGUCGAGGGGAAACGACAUUGGAAGCUUGCUUCCUUUGGGCGUCGACCGGCGCACGGGUGAGUAACGCGUAUCCAACCUUCCCGCAAGUAAGGGAUAACCCGUAGAAAUGCGGCCUAAUACCUUAUGUUUUCCUUAGAGGGCAUCUGAUGAGGAACAAAGAUCCGUCGCUUGCGGAUGGGGAUGCGUCUGAUUAGUUAGUCGGCGGGUAACGGCCCACCGAGACGACGAUCAGUAGGGGUUCUGAGAGGAAAGUCCCCCACAUUGGAACUGAGACACGGUCCAAACUCCUACGGGAGGCAGCAGUGAGGAAUAUUGGUCAAUGGGCGAGAGCCUGAACCAGCCAAGUAGCGUGCAGGAUGACGGCCCUAUGGGUUGUAAACUGCUUUUAUAAGGGAAUAAAGUGAGUCUCGUGAGACUUUUUGCAUGUACCUUAUGAAUAAGGACCGGCUAAUUCCGUG